GGAAGUAAAAGAUGAACAAAAAUCUGGGACAGAGAAAUAAAGGAUGGACAACAAUCUGGGACAGAGAAAUAAAGGAUGGACAACAAUCUGGGACAGAGAAAUAAAGGAUGGACAACAAUCUGGGACAGAAGAAUAAUGGGUGGUCGGAAAUCUGGAACAGCAAAAUGAAGGAUGUACAAACAUCCACACCAGAUUUGCCAUACAGCAAGAAAAAAAGAAAAGAAGAAAUGUUGAAGAGUUGCACCAAAAAGUUAGGGAAAAGUUAAGAAUAACGAAAGAGCAAUGUAGGACAGAAGCUGAUGUGACAAAACAAAUUAAACUGGCUCUCGAAUCAACGGAGGUGGAAUUGAAGACAGGAGGAAAUAAAUAAAAUAAAAUUUCUGAAACUGAUGAAAAAGAAGAAGACCUGCUGCAUGAAAACAGCUUGAUGCAAGAUGAAAUUGCCAGGCUCAGGCUGGAAAAAGACACAAUAAAAAACCAAAACCUGGAAAAGAAAUACUUAAAAGACUUUGAAAUUGUGAAAAGAAAGCGUGAAGACCUUCAAAAGACUCU
rnacentral:sRNA from 1 species